rnacentral:rRNA from 1 species
ACGAAGGGUGCAAGCGUUAAUCGGAAUUACUGGGCGUAAAGGGUGCGUAGGCGGUUCGUUAAGUCUGUCGUGAAAUCCCCGGGCUUAACCUGGGAAGUGCGGUAGAUACUCUGGGACUAGAGUACUGGAGGGGUGCGUGGAAUUCCCGGUGUAGCGGUGAAAUGCGUAGAUAUCGGAAGGAACACCUGUGGCGAAAGCGGCUCACUGGACCAUAACUGACGCUGAGGCACGAAAGCUAGGGGAGCAAACAGGA